GAUGGCUCUGGUUAGAGCGUGGUGCUGAUAACGCCAAGGUUGCAGGUUCGAUCCCCGUAUGGGGCAGCU